rnacentral:rRNA from 1 species
AUGGUAUACGAGAGCGCGAGGGUGCGUUGCAGCUUCGGGACAACCUCAUGGGUUCGCCUCUCCAGAGGGUACACGGAGGCCGGCCUGCUCUCGCAGGUCAUCGACGCCUUUGGGGGCGACACCAAGGGCGGCGAGAGCGUCGCCGACCUCCAGGCAAUGCUGACAGGCCUGGUGGCGAACAAGAGGUUCCUGCUCGUGGUCGAUGACGUGUGGUACGGCGGGGUGUGGGAGGACGUGCUGCAGAACCCACUGGGCCGCGGCGGCAAGGUGCUGGUCACAGCGCGGCGCGGCAGCACUGCCCGCGAGAUGGGCGCCAGCCUUGUCCACCGGGUGAAGAGACUCAGCACCGACGACGGCUGGCUGCUGCUCCGCACGGCGGCGUGCGUGGCUGACGACGAGAGCCAGCUGAAGAGCGUCGGCGAAAGGCUCGUCGAGAAGUGCGGCGGCAUCCCUCUGGCCAUCAAGGCGGUCGCCGGCGUGCUGAGGACACGGGAGGCCAGCGCCGACGUGUGGGGCGAGGUGCUCGCGAGCCCCGCGUGGUCGGUGAAGGGGCUGCCGGACGACGCCAUGAAGGCGCUGUACCUGUGCUACGAUGACCUGCCGCACCACCUGAAGCAAUGCUUCCUGUACUGCUCGCUGUUCCCCCCGGGCUUCGCCGUCGAGAGGCGGGUGCUCGUGCAGCACUGGAUGGCCGAGCGCUUGGUGCAGACCAGGAGCGGCGCCUCCGUCGAGGAGGUAGCCGAGGGGUACUACGAUGAGCUCGUUGGCAGGAACCUUCUCCAGACGACGCAGGAAGACGUGCGCGGAUGCACGAUGCACGAAGCGCUGCAUGCUCUGGCGCAGCUGCUCCUGCAAGGCGAGGGCUUCACCGGCGACGGCCACCGGCUGCCCGACGACGGCGACACCUCCUUCAGGCCACGGCGCGUCUCCCUUCCAGGAAGAAACAUGGCUACGAUACCAGAGAGCAUCCUGAAUUCGGAGAUGAUAAGGACGCUGCUGCUUCCCAGGAACCCACUGGCAACCGAAGGAAACAUCUUCACGAGGCUGCAUCAUCAACUGCGAGUCCUCGACCUGAGUGAAACAGGAAUUGAGCUCAUCCCAGAGACUCUGGGGAAUAUGGUUCACCUGAGGCUCCUCAACCUGUCCCGGACAGGGAUACAGGCGAUUCCAGAGUCCAUCAGCAACCUGUGGAGCCUGAAAUUCUUGCUGCUGAGGGAGUGCAAGUCACUGCAUGCUCUGCCCAAAGGCAUGAAGCACCUGAGGGGGCUCAGAGACCUUGAUCUUGCUGGAACAACGAUCGACAUUGCCGCGUUCAGGGUAGGCCAGCUGAGAAGCCUCACGUCGCUCCAGUGCUUCGCCGUGGCCAGCAAAGAGGACCGGGGUGGGUGGCCUCUGGCUGAGCUCAAGCACUUGUGCCAGCUGAGGAUACUCCAUGUGCAUAAGCUCCAGAGGGCUCCCGGUCGGUCUGAGGCGGCUGAAGUGGCACUUGCCAGCAAGAUGAGCCUCAGGGAGCUCGCGCUGUCAUCCAGCGACGACACUGUCAGUCUGCCGCACACACCAACGGCGGUCAGGAAGAUUGAGGAUGUGCUGGAAGAGCUCAACCCUCCACCGUGCCUCGAGUCGCUAAAGAUUGCUGGCUAUUUUGGAGCCAAGUUCCCCAGCUGGCUCUCAGACAUUUCCCUCCCAAAUCUUCGCCGCCUCGACAUCAUCGGGUGCAACUUGUGCCAGUCCCUCCCUCCACUAGGCCUGAUGCCAGAGCUGAGAUCGUUGAGCAUUGUCGAUUCUUCAGCUCUCACGUCAAUCGAUGCAGAGUUCAUGGGCAAAUGCCACCACCCUGAGGUACCUUUUCCAAAGCUCGAGAACCUGCGCUUGCAAGGAUUACCUAAGCUUGAAACAUGGAUGGAUAUCGAGGCAGGAACGUUGCCCUCUUUGCAGGCGAUGCAACUCGAGAGCUGCCCUGAGCUGCGACGCCUGCCUGGCGGCCUCAGACACGUGACAUCCUUGGUGGAGCUGCGCAUAGUGGACAUGGCGAGUCUCGAGGCUGUGGAGGACAUUAUUGCACUGAGAGAAUUGAGCGUUUGGAACGCACCUGAUCUGAAGAAGUUAUCAGACAUGCCUUCCCUUGAAGACCUUAGCAUAUCCCACUGCCCAGUGUUGCAGACUCUGGAGAACGUCGACAGCCUGCGAGCAGUGCACAUAUUUGAUCAUCAGUUGCAGGAGAUCCCAAGAUGGAUCGAGGCACGUGCGGCAAAGCUGCGCUCGCUGGAUGUCACAAGCACGAUCAAACUGCUCAAGAGGUGCCUGGUGGAUGGCCCAGACUGGCCCCUGAUCAAGGACAUUGUACAGGUACACGGGUCGACGACUGGUUCCGGUGAUUACAUAUACUAUUCCAAGAGCCCUUACAUCUUCGAUAGCAAUGUGAAUGCUCAAGGAAACGUUGAAACUGCUGCUUCUGAUAGUGCUGACGAGGCGUCGGCAGAAAACAGAAAUGCCAAUCAAGAUGUUGGGGUUACAGCUUCAGGUACUGGUUAUAUGCACAUCAGUGGCUUCUUCGACUCAAAAGCAGUGAAAAAAGGAGCUCCCAUGGCUGAAGGAAAUGUGACCCAUAGGAACACAGAAAGGAGAAAUAGCCAACGUCGCAUGCAUAAGCUGGCAGAAGUUAUUCCUGAGGAGGGUGAAGCUGAGGAAGAUGCAGAUUCAGUUGUGCUCUUUCCUGAUCAUCGAGCUAAAUCACAUUCACGAGUGGAGAAACAGCGUCCUGUUGUUAAAGAUGAUCGUAGUGGCAAUAACGAUACAGGCUUGCUGUCAAAAGUUACCCCUCAAGAAACUGGUCCUGAUGCAACUAGGCGAAGAAGGUCAAAGAUGGGAGAGGAUGUUCAUACUGAUGCUGGCGCUGCUGGGGAUUCUUCUGUUAGCAAAUCUGCUGCUGCAGUUGGUCAUAACUUGGUCCGUGAAGGAUCUCGAGUAAUCAACUGUACUGAAACUGAUCAAAAUUCAAACAUCAGUGUACGUCAAAGCAAGGAAUGCACAUUGAAUAAAGGAGAGGACUUUGCUAACAUCAGUAAACAGACCAGGAGGGUUCAUGACACUGCAAGUAAGGUGCCAACACAAGUAGUUGGCAGUGACUCUAAAGUAUUUGGUAAUGAUAAACCUGAAAAUAGUUCACCUGCUAUCAUGGCUCGCUCCAGGCAAGUAACAUUCAACAUAAGAGAAGACGAUCAUGCUGACGCCGAUGUACAUUCACCGAACACAAUUAAUCAGAAGAAUGUCGGCAAGGUAAAAGUGACAACAACUUCUGCAAGUGCAAGCACAAAUGCGACAACAAUGCCAGAAAUUCCAGCAGACAGAGAAGUGGCACCAAAAUCUGUUGGCACUAUUGAUAGCAGUUUAAUCCUUGAAGUUCAUCACACAGUAAGUAUUACUAAAGAUUCUACUUGUACUGGUGUUGAUAACACUGGUGGUCAUAUGGAGGACAGGAGCAUCAGUUUGCCAGCCAAUCCAAAUCAUGAAGAAUCUAAAGCAUGCAUCGCUACUGAAACCACGUGCGAUUCAGAGCCUUGCAUGUUGCCUGCAAGUUUAGCCUGGCGCAAGCAACGGGGACUGAAGAAGCAAGAAGCCAGUUUCGCAGGUGCAGGCGGUGGCAUAGGCGCAUCCAUCAAGAAAAUUCCUCGCAUGACAAACAAAACCUCGGAGAAAGUUACCUACAAAAGCAAGGCUGGGCCAAUGGAACAUCCAUCUACUGGAGCAUCCAAGAACACCGAUCCACAUUCGAACCCCGCGUGCACACCGUAUUGUGCCAUUGGUACAACUGAAGCAACCAUGGCAUACAGACACCACACCAGCAGCUACGCUGACAACGACAAUGCUCAUUUCUCCAUCGACAUCAAGGCCGACGACUCGCAUCAGGCACCAAAGGUGUACACCGCCAUUUGGGCCGACACCGACACGGACACCCUGCGAGCUCGGUUCCUCAGCUCGAUGCAGCACCACCACAGGAUGGCCUCCCGCCGUCGCCAUCGCCACCGUAGGGCGAAGCACGGCUCUGGGAACACGUGGAGCAUCAGCCCGGUUUUGGUGGUCGUCCUCCUUGUCGUCUCUGUGGCGCAGCUUCUGUUCAUCAUCUGGAUGUACCGCAGGCUCCUGAACCAAAAGUAG